rnacentral:snRNA from 1 species
GGGUGAUCUGGUGGUGGAAUCUGUCACCCCACUGACCACGAGGGUUGAUCCAGCUGCUCUGGCUGUCUAGGAGGGGACCCCUUUCUCCCUCCCAAAGCUGCACGCUUUAUGGAAGAGGAUGACCACCCUCCACAGAGGAGGACCACUUCCUCAGCAAAGGGAUAUGUGUAGCUGUGCUUCCCUCCUAGAACCUCCAAAUAAGCUCACAAUAGCUCUAAGAAAAAUGAAAUAUUUAGGAAUUAUCCCACACAAGGAAGUGAAAGACCACUACAACAAAACUU